CGGGUGAGUAACACGUGAGGAACGUGCCCCGGAGACCGGGAUAACAGCGGGAAACCGCUGCUAAUACCGGAUACCUUCCUUUGACCGCAUGGUCGAUUGAAGAAAUGGAUUCCGCUCCGGGAGCGCCUCGCGGUCUAUCAGCUUGUUGGUGGGGUAACGGCCUACCAAGGCGACGACGGAUAGCUGGUCUGAGAGGACGAUCAGCCACACUGGGACUGAGACACGGCCCAGACUCCUACGGGAGGCAGCAGUGGGGAAUCUUGCCCAAUGGGCGAAAGCCUGAGGCAGCAACGCCGCGUGUGGGAUGAAGGCCCUUGGGUUGUAAACCACUUUCAGCAGGGACGAAAAUGACGGUACCUGCAGAAGAAGCCCCGGCCAACUACGUGCCAGC
rnacentral:rRNA from 1 species